rnacentral:rRNA from 1 species
CUUGGUCAUUUAGAGGAAGUAAAGUUGUCCUCAUAAGUUUGGCAAUAAGAGGAGCCAUUUAACAUGUUAAAUGGUGUCACAUAAUCGGAGGCCACGACUGUUUAAUUAAAACACAGACAUCUGCUACGAUUAAUUUAUUUGUAUAGGUGUUGAAUUUUGCAACCUGCCAUCAACAUAAGGUCUGCGAGUUCAAAUAUGCGGAUUGAAAGUCUGGUUAAUGGCGGUCGAGAAAGGCCGCGUGUUAUACUUAAAGAUUGUGCAAGUUCUGUGAGCUUGUUGCAAUCAACCCACCCCCGGUGGGUUGAAUAAAAACCCCACGAUUAGUGUAGGUUUAUAUCCUAGUUCCCUCAGAGACUAAACGUUAAACAAAAGCAAAACUACAUUAGUUUCGGGCUCAACCGAAUAUAUAAAUAACCCCCAUUUUAAAAAUUCGGUAAAGGAAUCUUGCUUUUGAUGAUAUAUUCCACAUAUUUAUAAAAAUAUAAAUAUUCAAGCCUAAGGUAGCGAAAUUUAUUGUCCGUUAAAUGCGGUCCCGCAUGAAUAAAGUAACGAUGGUCUCACUGUCUCUACAAGCAUCUCAGUGAAAUUGAAUUAGCCGUGCAGAUGCCGCUACCUCCGCGGAGGAAGCAUAUCAAUAAGCGGAGGA